rnacentral:rRNA from 1 species
AAUAUUGCGCAAUGGGCGAAAGCCUGACGCAGCGACGCCGCGUGAGUGAUGAAGGCCUUCGGGUCGUAAAACUCUGUCCUCAGGGAAGAAAAUUUGACGGUACCUGAGGAGGAAGCCCCGGCUAACUACGUGCCAGCAGCCGCGGUAAUACGUAGGGGGCGAGCGUUGUCCGGAAUUAUUGGGCGUAAAGCGCGCGCAGGCGGUCUUUUAAGUCUGAUGUGAAAUCUUACAGCUUAACUGUAAGCGGUCAUUGGAAACUGGGAGACUUGAGUGCAGAAGAGGAGAGUGGAAUUCCUAGUGUAGCGGUGAAAUGCGUAGAGAUUAGGAGGAACACCAGUGGCGAAGGCGACUUUCUGGACUGUAACUGACGCUGAGGUACGAAAGCGUGGGUAGCGAAC